UACGUAGGGCGCAAGCGUUGUCCGGAAUUAUUGGGCGUAAAGAGCUCGUAGGUGGCUUGUCGCGUCUGCCGUGAAAGCCCGUGGCUUAACUACGGGUCUGCGGUGGAUACGGGCAGACUAGAGUUCGGCAGGGGAGACUGGAAUUCCUGGUGUAGCGGUGAAAUGCGCAGAUAUCAGGAGGAACACCGGUGGCGAAGGCGGGUCUCUGGGCCGAUACUGACGCUGAGGAGCGAAAGCGUGGGGAGCAAACAGG
rnacentral:rRNA from 1 species